rnacentral:rRNA from 1 species
GACGAACGCUGGCGGCGCGCUUAACACAUGCAAGUCGAACGGAAAGGCCUGCUUUCCCUUGUGGAUUGCGGGUACUCGAGUGGCGAACGGGUGAGUAACACGUGAGUGAUCUGCCCCCAACUUGGGUAUAAGCCUGGGAAACUGGGUCUAAUUCCCGAUAGGACUGCAGGGUGGUGCCUGUGGUGGAAAACAUUUUCUAGUGGUUGGGGAUGAGCUCGCGGCCUAUCAGCUUGUUGGUGGGGUAAUGGCCUACCAAGGCGGCGACGGGUAGCCGGCCUGAGAGGGUGGACGGCCACAUUGGGACUGAGAUACGGCCCAGACUCCUACGGGAGGCAGCAGUGGGGAAUAUUGCACAAUGGGCGGAAGCCUGAUGCAGCGACGCCGCGUGGGGGAUGACGGCCUUCGGGUUGUAAACUCCUUUCGACCGCGAGGAAGCCACCUGGUUGGAAGGGUGGUGACGGUAGUGGUAGAAGAAGCACCGGCUAACUACGUG